GAACGCCGGAUGCUGGGAAAACUAGCACGUCCAAGGUGUGGAGCAGGGGAAAAGCCGGAGAUGACUUCAAACGCUUACCUAUUGCUAA
rnacentral:misc_RNA from 1 species